GAUGAACGCUGGCGGCGUGCCUAAUACAUGCAAGUCGAGCGAACAGACGAGGAGCUUGCUCCUCUGACGUUAGCGGCGGACGGGUGAGUAACACGUGGAUAACCUACCUAUAAGACUGGGAUAACUUCGGGAAACCGGAGCUAAUACCGGAUAAUAUAUUGAACCGCAUGGUUCAAUAGUGAAAGACGGUUUUGCUGUCACUUAUAGAUGGAUCCGCGCCGCAUUAGCUAGUUGGUAAGGUAACGGCUUACCAAGGCGACGAUGCGUAGCCGACCUGAGAGGGUGAUAGGCCACACUGGAACUGAGACACGGUCCAGACUCCUACGGGAGGCAGCAGUAGGGAAUCUUCCGCAAUGGGCGAAAGCCUGACGGAGCAACGCCGCGUGAGCGAUGAAGGUCUUCGGAUCGUAAAACUCUGUUAUUAGGGAAGAACAAAUGUGUAAGUAACUAUGCACGUCUUGACGGUACCUAAUCAGAAAGCCACGGCUAACUACGUG
rnacentral:rRNA from 1 species